UACGUAGGGUGCGAGCGUUAAUCGGAAUUACUGGGCGUAAAGCGUGCGCAGGCUGUUUUGUAAGUCAGAUGUGAAAUCCCUGGGCUCAACCUAGGAACUGCGUUUGAAACUACAAGGCUAGAGUGUAGCAGAGGGGGGUAGAAUUCCACGUGUAGCAGUGAAACGCGUAGAGAUGUGGAGGAAUACCAAUGGCGAAGGCAGCCCCCUGGGUUAACACUGACGCUCAUGCACGAAAGCGUGGGGAGCAAACAGG
rnacentral:rRNA from 1 species